rnacentral:rRNA from 1 species
GACGAACGCUGGCGGCGUGCUUAACACAUGCAAGUCGAACGGAAAGGCCCUGCUUUUGUGGGGUGCUCGAGUGGCGAAAGGGUGAGUAACACGUGAGUAACCUGCCCUUGACUUUGGGAUAACUUCAGGAAACUGGGGCUAAUACCGGAUAGGAGCUCCUGCUGCAUGGUGGGGGUUGGAAAGUUUCGGCGGUUGGGGAUGGACUCGCGGCUUAUCAGCUUGUUGGUGGGGUAGUGGCUUACCAAGGCUUUGACGGGUAGCCGGCCUGAGAGGGUGACCGGCCACAUUGGGACUGAGAUACGGCCCAGACUCCUCCGGGAGGCAGCAGUGGGGAAUAUUGCACAAUGGGCGGAAGCCUGAUGCAGCAACGCCGCGUGCGGGAUGACGGCCUUCGGAUUGUAAACCGCUUUCGCCUGUGACGAAGCGUGAGUGACGGUAAUGGGUAAAGAAGCACCGGCUAACUACGUG